rnacentral:rRNA from 1 species
AACGAACGCUGGCGGCAGGCUUAACACAUGCAAGUCGCACGCCCCGCAAGGGGAGCGGCAGCCGGGAGAGUAACGCGUGGGAAUCUACCCAUCUCUAUGGAAUAACGCAUGGUAACGUGUGCUAAUACCGUUAAAGUCCCUCGGGAGAAAGAUAUAUCGGAAAUGGAUGAGCCCGGGUUGGAUUGCCAAGUUGGUGGGGUAAAAGCCUACCAAGGCGACGAUCGCUAGCUGGUCUGAGAGGAUUAACAGCCACUCUGGUAGUGAGACACGGCCCAGAAUACUACGGGAGGCAGCAGUGGGGAAUAUUGGACAAUGGGCGCAAGCCUGAACCAGCCAUGCCGCGUGAGUGAUGAAGUCCCUAAGGUUGUAAAGCUCUUUCACCGGUGAAGAUAAUGACGGUAACCAGAGAAGAAGCCCCGGCUAACUUCGUGCCAGCCGCCGCGGUAAAAC